AACCGUGUACGUACAAGCAGUGGGAGCCCCACCACUAAGCCAGUGGUGAACUCCACAUACGCAUCCUUUGCUGAGGAUACGGUUAACGGAGCGAAAGCGACGUUCAACCGCAAAAGAAGCAGAGGGGGCUUAGUGGUGGGGUGACUGCGUACCUUUUGUAUAAUGGGUCAGCGACUUAUAUUCUGUAGCAAGGUUAACCGAAU
rnacentral:rRNA from 1 species